UUCCCAGGUGGUGCAGUGGUAAAGAAUCUGCCUGCCAAUGCAGGAGACACAGGAGCAUCCUCCUUAACAAGGAGGAAGAUGAGGAGUGCAGUGAAGAGGAGACCUGUUUUAGGGCACUCCUGAGCAAUGAAUGUGCAUCUCUUCACCAGGAUGGACUCCAGCACAGAGCUGUGUGGGCUGCUUGGCAUCGUCUGUUGUGAGGUGGUGCCACCUCCUUUUUGAGCUCCAAGGAGUCUUUCUGUGCCUGUGCAGUUUUCCUUGACCUUUUGACCUCAGAAGUGGUCACUUUUUUACUCUAGCAGAGCUCAGCUCCUGCUGUUAAUUGUCUUAGGUACUGAGGCUGAGCUCCCUUUGAC
ensembl:lncRNA